UACGUAGGGGGCAAGCGUUGUCCGGAAUUAUUGGGCGUAAAGAGCGUGUAGGCGGCCAGAUAAGUCCGCUGUGAAAUCUCGAGGCUCAACUUCGAGCUGUCGGUGGAAACUAUCUGGCUAGAGUCCGGAAGAGGAGAAUGGAAUUCCUGGUGUAGCGGUGAAAUGCGCAGAUAUCGGGAGGAACACCUAUGGCGAAGGCAGCUCGCUGGGACGUUACUGACGCUGAGACGCGAAAGCGUGGGGAGCAAACAGG
rnacentral:rRNA from 1 species